rnacentral:rRNA from 1 species
UAGGGAAUCUUCCGCAAUGGACGCAAGUCUGACGGAGCAACGCCGCGUGAGUGAAGAAGGAUUUCGGUUCGUAAAACUCUGUUGUUAGAGAAGAACAGCGCAUAGAGUAACUGUUAUGCGUGUGACGGUAUCUAACCAGAAAGCCACGGCUAACUACGUGCCAGCAGCCGCGGUAAUACGUAGGUGGCAAGCGUUGUCCGGAUUUAUUGGGCGUAAAGCGAGCGCAGGCGGUCAAUUAAGUCUGAUGUGAAAGCCCCCGGCUCAACCGGGGAGGGUCAUUGGAAACUGGUUGACUUGAGUGCAGAAGAGGAGAGUGGAAUUCCAUGUGUAGCGGUGAAAUGCGUAGAUAUAUGGAGGAACACCAGUGGCGAAGGCGACUCUCUGGUCUGUAACCGACGCUGAGGUUCGAAAGCGUGGGUAGCAAACAGG